ACCUGGUUGGCUCAGUCGGGUUAGAGCGUGUGACUCUGGAUCUCGGGGUUGUGGGUUUGAGCCCCACUUUGGGUG